rnacentral:rRNA from 1 species
CCUACGGGUGGCAGCAGUGAGGAAUAUUGGUCAAUGGACGAGAGUCUGAACCAGCCAAGUAGCGUGAAGGAUGACUGCCCUAUGGGUUGUAAACUUCUUUUAUAUGGGACUAAAAUGUUUCACGUGAGGGAUUUUGUAUGUACCAUAUGAAUAAGGAACGGCUAACUCAGUGCCAGCAGCCGAGGUAAUACGGAGGAUCCGAGCGUUAUCCGGAUUUAUUGGGUUUAAAGGGAGCGUAGGUGGAUUGUUAAGUCAGUUGUGAAAGUUUGCGGCUCAACCGUAAAAUUGCAGUUGAAACUGGCAGUCUGGAGUACAGGAGAGGUGGGCGGAAUUCGUGGUGUAGCGGUGAAAUGCGUAGAUAUCACGAAGAACUCCGAUUGCGAAGGCAGCUCACUGGACUGCAACUGACACUGAGGCUCGAAAGUGUGGGUAUCAAACAGGAUUAGAUACCCCAGUAGUC